UCGGACGUGGUGUAUGGUACACACACGCUCGCAUUAGACAGGGUACCGCCUAGAAAGCCGGAGGCCCGGGUUCGACUCCCGGCGUCCGAA